GAAAUGAUGAGGGUCAACAUUCUUCAUACCAAAGUGAAGACAUGAGAUCCAACUCUGAGC
rnacentral:sRNA from 1 species